AGAUAAAAAUUUCAUCAAUUUCUACUAUUAAAACUGGUGUAGCCGACGAAAUAACUAGACAUAUACAUAUGACAUGUCAUAUGUAUCUCAUGUCAACGUACAGAGACUAAUUUUUAACCGUAGAAAUGUAUGAAACUUAUAACA
rfam:Gossypium hirsutum cultivar TM-1 unplaced genomic scaffold scaffold568.1, whole genome shotgun sequence